GACGAACGCUGGCGGCGUGCUUAACACAUGCAAGUCGAACGGAAAGGCACUGCUUUUGUGGGGUGCUCGAGUGGCGAACGGGUGAGUAACACGUGAGUAACCUGCCCUUGACUUUGGGAUAACUUCAGGAAACUGGGGCUAAUACCGGAUAGGAGCUCCUGCUGCAUGGUGGGGGUUGGAAAGUUUCGGCGGUUGGGGAUGGACUCGCGGCUUAUCAGCUUGUUGGUGGGGUAGUGGCUUACCAAGGCUUUGACGGGUAGCCGGCCUGAGAGGGUGACCGGCCACAUUGGGACUGAGAUACGGCCCAGACUCCUACGGGAGGCAGCAGUGGGGAAUAUUGCACAAUGGGCGGAAGCCUGAUGCAGCAACGCCGCGUGCGGGAUGACGGCCUUCGGGUUGUAAACCGCUUGCGCCUGAGACGAAGCGUGAGUGACGGUAAUGGGUAGAGAAGCACCGGCUAACUACGUG
rnacentral:rRNA from 1 species